ACACUUGAAAAAACCGCACCUUGCAAGUGCAGCCAAAUUUUCUAGCUUAAAGCACUCUUAUUGUCCCAGAAUCAUCUUUACUCUUACUAUAUACAUGUGUGUCUUCUCUUCUAUUUCCAACUUCCAAGAGAGACCUAUAGUUUGUAACAGCAAUUUGUCAUGCCUAUUUGCAUUCGUCAAUUCGCUUUCCUUGCCUUCUUUUGCCUUACUCUUCUCCUCUUUUCUGCUCCGGAGGUUAGUAAUGCUGCAGCAAUCUGUGGGAGGCCUAGUGGAACAUGGAAAGGGCCUUGUAUAAUCUCUAGCAUAUGCAAUAAUCAGUGCAAAGAGAGGGAGAACGCACAGGGAGGAUCCUGCUGGGUUUUAGCUUGUUACUGUCAAUUUUUCUGUGACGGGAACUGAAACAUUCCACCAUCACUAUAUCCAUUGUGCGCUCUGAAAUCUGAAUAAUACAUUAAACACUGAAAUGAUCAGUAUCAGUCACAGAUACUACAGUUAUUCUUGUACAUCAUUGCAAUGCGUCGAAGCCAUGUGUAUGUUUGGGUUAAAGUUUGUAAGAUUGGUCGUAAUGUUUUGAAGCUAUGUGUAUGUUUGAGUUAACAUUUGUACAAAUUGAUUGUGAUGUUUCAAAUUAAAUUGAGUUAACAUUUGUAAAA